rnacentral:rRNA from 1 species
UACGUAGGGGGCGAGCGUUGUCCGGAAUCAUUGGGCGUAAAGCGCGUGUAGGCGGUCCGGUAAGUCCGCUGUGAAAGCCCGGGGCUCAACCUCGGAACGGCAUUCGAUACGGGACGGCUGGAGACCGGGAGAGGAGAGUGGAAUAGCCAGUGUAGAGGUGAAAUUCGUAGAUAUUGGCUGGAACACCAGUGGCGAAGGCGGCUACCUGGACCGGUUCUGACGCUGAGGCGCGAAAGCGUGGGUAGCAAACAGG